rnacentral:rRNA from 1 species
UAUNGCGCAAUGGAGGAAACUCUGACGCAGUNACGCCGCGUAUAGGAAGAAGGUCUUCGGAUUGUAAACUAUUGUCGUUAGGGAAGAAAAAGGACAGUACCUAAGGAGGAAGCUCCGGCUAACUACGUGCCAGCAGCCGCGGUAAUACGUAGGGAGCAAGCGUUAUCCGGAUUUAUUGGGUGUAAAGGGUGCGUAGACGGGAUAAUAAGUUAGUUGUGAAAUCCCUCGGCUCAACUGAGGAACUGCAACUAAAACUGUUAUUCUUGAGUGUUGGAGAGGAAAGCGGAAUUCCUAGUGUAGCGGUGAAAUGCGUAGAUAUUAGGAGGAACACCAGUGGCGAAGGCGGCUUUCUGGACAAUAACUGACGUUGAGGCACGAAAGUGUGGGGAGCAAACAG